rnacentral:rRNA from 1 species
GUGGAUUAGAUACCCUGGUAGUCCACGCCCUAAACGAUGUCAACUAGGUGUUGGGGAAGGAGACUUCUUUAGUACCGCAGCUAACGCGAUGAGUUGACCGCCUGGGGAGUACGGUCGCAAGAUUAAAACUCAAAGGAAUUGACGGGGACCCGCACAAGCGGUGGAUUAUGUGGAUUAAUUCGAUGCAACGCGAAAAACCUUACCUACCCUUGACAUGCCAGGAAGUUUCCAGAGAUGGGAAUGUGCCCGAAAGGGAACCUGGACACAGGUGCUGCAUGGCCGUCGCCAACU